rnacentral:rRNA from 1 species
CCUAGCGGCAGACGGGUGAGUAACGCGUGGAUAUCUGCCUUUUGGUUCGGAACAACACGGGGAAACCUGUGCUAAUACCGGAUAAGUCCUAACGGAGAAAGUUUUAAUGCCAAAAGAUGAGCUCGCAUUUGAUUAGCUAGUUGGUGAGGUAAAAGCUCACCAAGGCGAUAAUCAAUAGCUGAUUUGAGAGGAUGAUCAGCCACACUGGGACUGAGACACGGCCCAGACACC